GACGAACGCUGGCGGCGUGCUUAACACAUGCAAGUCGAACGGAAAGGCCCUGCUUUUGUGGGGUGCUCGAGUGGCGAACGGGUGAGUAACACGUGAGUAACCUGCCCUUGACUUUGGGAUAACUUCAGGAAACUGGGGCUAAUACCGGAUAGGAGCUCCUGCUGCAUGGUGGGGGUUGGAAAGUUUCGGCGGUUGGGGAUGGACUCGCGGCUUAUCAGCUUGUUGGUGGGGUAGUGGCUUACCAAGGCUUUGACGGGUAGCCGGCCUGAGAGGGUGACCGGCCCCAUUGGGACUGAGGGACGGCCCAAACCCCUACGGGGGGCAGGGGGGGGGAAUUUUGCCAAAGGGGCGGAAGCCUGGUGACGAAACGCCGGGUGGGGGAUGGCGGCCUUCGGGUUGUAAACCGCUUUCGCCUGUGACGAAGCGUGGGUGACGGUAAUGGGUAAAGAAGCACCGGUGAACUACGU
rnacentral:rRNA from 1 species